rnacentral:tRNA from 1 species
GGGCGGUUGGUGGAGCAGCAAACACACUAGACUGUAAAUCUAGCGGCCAUUGGCCUUCGGGGGUGCAAGUCCCUCACCGCCCA